rnacentral:tRNA from 1 species
ACUUUAUAGUAAAGAAUCUGCCUGCAAUGCAGAAGACCCAGGUUCAAUCCCUGG